GGAGGAGAUUGUGGAAUGUUGAAUAAGUGGAAUAAACACCUACUGUAAAAACACCAUGAUGGAAUAGAGACUCAAUGGGAGUGGAGGAACGAUGACUCUACCUCCAUUACCUGCUGCAGUAGAAGGGCUGAUAGUUUGACUCCAUCCCCUCUUCCCCUCGCUGAGAGGCAGUUGGACUAUGACAAUGAACCACAGGGGUACCCACCCCACUACCGUGGGCUGUCUCCUCACAGAAUGUCCCUGGUGGAUGAGAUGGAGGAGGAGUGCUUGUACACUGAGGAGGCUUUCAUC